UAAAUGCUUGGGAAUCUGGCUUAUGGAGGGGGAUAACUACGGGAAACUGUAGCUAAUACCGCGUAGUAUCGAGAGAUGAAAGUGCGGGACCGCAAGGCCGCAUGCCAUGAGAUGAGCCCAAGUGGGAUUAGGUAGUUGGUGGGGUAAAGGCCUACCAAGCCUGCGAUCUCUAGCUGGUCUGAGAGGAUGGCCAGCCACACUGGAACUGAGACACGGUCCAG
rnacentral:rRNA from 1 species